rnacentral:rRNA from 1 species
CAGUAGCCACGGUAAUACGAAGGGGGCUAGCGUUGCUCGGAAUUACUGGGCGUAAAGGGCGCGUAGGCGGACAGUUAAGUUGGGGGUGAAAGCCCGGGGCUCAACCUCGGAAUUGCCUUCAAUACUGGCUGUCUUGAGUAUGAGAGAGGUGUGUGGAACUCCGAGUGUAGAGGUGAAAUUCGUAGAUAUUCGGAAGAACACCAGUGGCGAAGGCGACACACUGGCUCAUUACUGACGCUGAGGCGCGAGAGCGUGGGGAGCAAACAGGAUUAGAUACCCGUGUAGUCCCUGUCUCUUAUAC